CAUCUGUGAGGUCAUCUCCCUUUCUGUAGAGCAUAUGACCUUUACUGAUGCAUCUGCAUCUGGCUCAGACUUAGUCACUCAGCCCUGAAAUUAUAUCAUAUCACAGGUCAUUCUCUGAGUCUCUUAAUGUGAGGCCUUGAGAGAAAAAUCAACAUGCCUUCUGUUGGAUGAAGACCAAUGAGCAAGCUGCAGUAAUUCUGCUGGCGUCAUCCCCAUACUUGCCAUCCUCUUGCAGGGGUGUAGGUUCUAAGG
rnacentral:lncRNA from 1 species